rnacentral:rRNA from 1 species
UACGGAGGGUGCAAGCGUUAAUCGGAUUUAUUGGGCGUAAAGAGCUCGUAGGCGGUUUGUCGCGUCUGCUGUGAAAACUCGGGGCUUAACUCCGGGCCUGCAGUGGGUACGGGCAGACUAGAGUGCGGUAGGGGAGACUGGAAUUCCUGGUGUAGCGGUGAAAUGCGCAGAUAUCAGGAAGAACACCCGUGGCGAAAGCGGCUCUCUGGAACGGUACUGACGCUGAGACGCGAAAGCGUGGGGAGCGAACAGG